rnacentral:misc_RNA from 1 species
CAUUAACAAAUCCUGCUGCAUGCCCUCUGGGUGCUGUAUAUAUUAACUCGGUCCAGGCCGCAGGCUUGGGCUGAUAAAUUAAUGUGUGUAAUGUUGACAAUGUGUGUGUGAUUAAUUAUAAACAACUUUUAACAAUGGAUCUCUAGGCUCUUGCAUCGUAAGAACGCACCCUCUCUUGGCUCUGGCAUCGAUGAAGAACGC